GAUGAACGCUGGCGGCGUGCCUAAUACAUGCAAGUCGAGCGAACAGAUAAGGAGCUUGCUCCUUUGACGUUAGCGGCGGACGGGUGAGUAACACGUGGGUAACCUACCUAUCAGACUGGAAUAACUCCGGGAAACCGGGGCUAAUGCCGGAUAACAUUUAGCACCGCAUGGUUCUAAAGUGAAAGAUGGUUUUGCUAUCACUUCUAGAUGGACCCGCGCCGUAUUAGCUAGUUGGUAAGGUAACGGCUUACCAAGGCUACGAUACGUAGCCGACCUGAUAGGGUGAUCGCCGACACGGGAGCUGAGACACGGUCCAGACGCCUACGGGAGGCAGCAGUAGGGAAUCGUCCGCAAUGGGCGAAAGCCUGACGGAGCAACGCCGCGUGAGUGAUGAAGGUCUUCGGAUCGGAAAACUCUGUUAUUAGGUAAGAACAAAUGUGGAAGUAACUGUGCACGUCGUGACGGUACCUAAUCAGAAAGCCACGGCUAACUACGUG
rnacentral:rRNA from 1 species